CGCGUAGGCGGGCGUUUAAGUCAGAGGUCAAAUCCCAGGGCUCAACCCUGGAACUGCCUUUGAUACUGGACGUCUUGAGUGCGGGAGAGGUGAGUGGAACUCCGAGUGUAGAGGUGAAAUUCGUAGAUAUUCGGAAGAACACCAGUGGCGAAGGCGACUCACUGGCCCGUUACUGACGCUGAGGCGCGAAAGCGUGGGGAGCAAACAGGAUUAGAUACCCUGGUAGUCCACGCCGUAAACGAUGAGUGCUAGUUGUCGGCAUGCAUGCAUGUCGGUGACGCAGCUAACGCAUUAAGCACUCCGCCUGGGGAGUACGGUCGCAAGAUUAAA
rnacentral:rRNA from 1 species